GGCGUUAAGUUGCAGGGUAUAGACCCGAAACCCGGUGAUCUAGCCAUGGGCAGGUUGAAGGUUGGGUAACACUAACUGGAGGACCGAACCGACUAAUGUUGAAAAAUUAGCGGAUGACCUGUGGCUGGGGGUGAAAGGCCAAUCAAACCGGGAGAUAGCUGGUUCUCCCCGAAAGCUAUUUAGGUAGCGCCUCGUGAACUCAUCUCCGGGGGUAGAGCACUGUUUCGGCUAGGGGGCCAUCCCGGCUUACCAACCCGAUGCAAACUGCGAAUACCGGAGAAUGUUAUCACGGGAGACACACGGCGGGUGCUAACGUCCGUCGUGAAGAGGGAAACAACCCAGACCGCCAGCUAAGGUCCCAAAGUCAUGGUUAAGUGGGAAACGAUGUGGGAAGGCCCAGACAGCCAGGAUGUUGGCUUAGAAGCAGCCAUCAUUUAAAGAAAGCGUAAUAGCUCACUGGUCGAGUCGGCCUGCGCGGAAGAUGUAACGGGGCUAAACCAUGCACCGAAGCUGCGGCAGCGACAUUUAGGUGUUGUUGGGUAGGGGAGCGUUCUGUAAGCCUGUGAAGGUGGCCUGUGAGGGUUGCUGGAGGUAUCAGAAGUGCGAAUGCUGACAUAAGUAACGAUAAAGCGGGUGAAAAGCCCGCUCGCCGGAAGACCAAGGGUUCCUGUCCAACGUUAAUCGGGGCAGGGUGAGUCGACCCCUAAGGCGAGGCCGAAAGGCGUAGUCGAUGGGAAACGGGUUAAUAUUCCCGUACUUGGUGUUACUGCGAAGGGGGGACGGAGAAGGCUAUGUUGGCCGGGCGACGGUUGUCCCGGUUUAAGCGUGUAGGUGUGUGUUCCAGGUAAAUCCGGUUCACUUUAACACUGAGGCGUGAUGACGAGGCACUACGGUGCUGAAGCAACAAAUGCCCUGCUUCCAGGAAAAGCCUCUAAGCAUCAGGUAACAUCAAAUCGUACCCCAAACCGACACAGGUGGUCAGGUAGAGAAUACCAAGGCGCUUGAGAGAACUCGGGUGAAGGAACUAGGCAAAAUGGUGCCGUAACUUCGGGAGAAGGCACGCUGACACGUAGGUGAAGUGAUUUACUCAUGGAGCUGAAGUCAGUCGAAGAUACCAGCUGGCUGCAACUGUUUAUUAAAAACACAGCACUGUGCAAACACGAAAGUGGACGUAUACGGUGUGACGCCUGCCCGGUGCCGGAAGGUUAAUUGAUGGGGUCAGCGCAAGCGAAGCUCCUGAUCGAAGCCCCGGUAAACGGCGGCCGUAACUAUAACGGUCCUAAGGUAGCGAAAUUCCUUGUCGGGUAAGUUCCGACCUGCACGAAUGGCGUAAUGAUGGCCAGGCUGUCUCCACCCGAGACUCAGUGAAAUUGAACUCGCUGUGAAGAUGCAGUGUACCCGCGGCAAGACGGAAAGACCCCGUGAACCUUUACUAUAGCUUGACACUGAACAUUGAGCCUUGAUGUGUAGGAUAGGUGGGAGGCUUUGAAGCGUGGACGCCAGUCUGCGUGGAGCCGACCUUGAAAUACCACCCUUUAAUGUUUGAUGUUCUAACGUGGACCCGUAAUCCGGGUUGCGGACAGUGUCUGGUGGGUAGUUUGACUGGGGCGGUCUCCUCCUAAAGAGUAACGGAGGAGCACGAAGGUUGGCUAAUCCUGGUCGGACAUCAGGAGGUUAGUGCAAUGGCAUAAGCCAGCUUGACUGCGAGCGUGACGGCGCGAGCAGGUGCGAAAGCAGGUCAUAGUGAUCCGGUGGUUCUGAAUGGAAGGGCCAUCGCUCAACGGAUAAAAGGUACUCCGGGGAUAACAGGCUGAUACCGCCCAAGAGUUCAUAUCGACGGCGGUGUUUGGCACCUCGAUGUCGGCUCAUCACAUCCUGGGGCUGAAGUAGGUCCCAAGGGUAUGGCUGUUCGCCAUUUAAAGUGGUACGCGAGCUGGGUUUAGAACGUCGUGAGACAGUUCGGUCCCUAUCUGCCGUGGGCGCUGGAGAACUGAGGGGGGCUGCUCCUAGUACGAGAGGACCGGAGUGGACGCAUCACUGGUGUUCGGGUUGUCAUGCCAAUGGCACUGCCCGGUAGCUAAAUGCGGAAGAGAUAAGUGCUGAAAGCAUCUAAGCACGAAACUUGCCCCGAGAUGAGUUCUCCCUGAGACUUUAGGUCUCCUGAAGGAACGUUGAAGACGACGACGUUGAUAGGCCGGGUGUGUAAGCGCAGCGAUGCGUUGAGCUAACCGGUACUAAUGAACCGUGAGGCUUAACCUUACAACGCCGAAG
rnacentral:rRNA from 1 species